rnacentral:rRNA from 1 species
UACAGAGGGGGCAAGCGUUAUUCGGAAUUAUUGGGCGUAAAGGGCGCGUAGGCGGCUUUGCAAGUGACGGGUGAAAUCCCUCGGCUUAACCGAGGAACUGCCUGUCAAACUGCAUGGCUUGAGACCGGGAGAGGUGAGUGGAAUUCCCAGUGUAGCGGUGAAAUGCGUAGAUAUCUGGAGGAACACCGGUGGCGAAGGCGGCAUCCUGGACCGAGAUUGACGCUGAGGCGCGAAAGCCAGGGGAGCAAACGGG